AUUGAACGCUGGCGGCAUGCUUUACACAUGCAAGUCGAACGGCAGCGCGGGCUUCGGCCUGGCGGCGAGUGGCGAACGGGUGAGUAAUGCAUCGGAACGUGCCCAGUAGUGGGGGAUAGCCCGGCGAAAGCCGGAUUAAUACCGCAUACGACCUGAGGGUGAAAGCGGGGGACCGAAAGGCCUCGCGCUAUUGGAGCGGCCGAUGUCGGAUUAGCUAGUUGGUGGGGUAAAGGCUUACCAAGGCGACGAUCCGUAGCUGGUCUGAGAGGACGACCAGCCACACUGGGACUGAGACACGGCCCAGACGCCUACGGGAGGCAGCAGUGGGAAAUUUUGGACAAUGGGGGCAACCCUGAUCCAGCCAUGCCGCGUGCGGGAAGAAGGCCUUCGGGUUGUAAACCGCUUUUGUUCGGGAAGAAAUCCUCUGGGCUAAUACCCCGGGGGGAUGACGGUACCGGAAGAAUAAGCACCGGCUAACUACGU
rnacentral:rRNA from 1 species